AUAUUUACCUGGCAGGGGAGACGCCAUGAUCAUGAAAGUAGUUUUUCCAGGGUGAGGCUUACCCAUUGCACUUGGGAUGUGCUGACCCUUGCAAUUUUUCCAAAUGUGGGAAACUCAACUGCAUAAUUUGUGGUAGUGAGGGACUGUGUUUGUAUUUUUCCCUG
ensembl:snRNA U1 U1 spliceosomal RNA